rnacentral:rRNA from 1 species
GAACCGUCCAAACGUUUAUUCGGAAUCACUGGGCUUAAAGGGUGCGUAGGCGGCCUGGCAAGUUGGGUGUGAAAUCCCUCGGCUCAACCGAGGAACUGCGCUCAAAACUGCCUGGCUAGAGGGAGAUAGAGGUGAGCGGAACUUAAGGUGGAGCGGUGAAAUGCGUUGAUAUCUUAAGGAACACCGGUGGCGAAGGCGGCUCACUGGAUCUCUUCUGACGCUGAGGCACGAAAGCCAGGGUAGCGAACGGGGAUUAGAUACCCCGGUAGUCCUGGCUGUAAACGAUGAGCACUUGGUUGGAGGCUCCCUCCAUAGGCUUCCCGGCCGAAGCGAAAGUGUUAAGUGCUCCGCCUGGGGAGUAUGGUCGCAAGGCUG